GUUUUCCCUAGAGUUCCUCUGAACACUUCAAUAUUAUGGAUUUCAUCACUUUUGUCAGAAUCUCCGUUCAUCCCUAUUGAAGUGUUUGGAGGAACUCCCGGAAUCAC
rfam:Cajanus cajan CcLG01_744, whole genome shotgun sequence.